rnacentral:rRNA from 1 species
GAUGAACGCUAGCUACAGGCUUAACACAUGCAAGUCGAGGGGUAACGAGAGGAAAGCUUGCUUUCCUUGUCGACGACCGGCGCACGGGUGAGUAACGCGUAUCCAACCUGCCCCCAACUAAGGAAUAACCUUGCGAAAGUAAGACUAAUACCUUAUAAUUUCCUCAGAUGUCAUCUGACGAGGAAUAAAGAUUUAUCGGUUGUGGAUGGGGAUGCGUCUGAUUAGCUUGUUGGCGGGGUAACGGCCCACCAAGGCAACGAUCAGUAGGGGUUCUGAGAGGAAGGUCCCCCACAUUGGAACUGAGACACGGUCCAAACUCCUACGGGAGGCAGCAGUGAGGAAUAUUGGUCAAUGGGCGGAAGCCUGAACCAGCCAAGUAGCGUGCAGGAUGACGGCCCUAUGGGUUGUAAACUGCUUUUAUACAGGAAUAAAGUUAGCCACGUGUGGUUAUUUGUAGGUACUGUAUGAAUAAGGACCGGCUAAUUCCGUGCCAGCAGCCGCAGUAA